CUUGUGAAAGGGCUAUGUGGCAUGCCUUGAUUAAUAUGGGGAUGCUUCCUGAACAUUUAAUUAUAUAGCAUGUGGCAGCUUGGUACAGAGGGCACCUAAAGUGGUAUGGAGUAGCUCCCUGUAAUUUCAGGCUAUAUGGGAAGUGACAGCGUAGUGCAGGGGUAGAUGUGUUACCCCCCAUGACUAAUUUGAUGUUGUCCCUUUAGUGCCAUUUGAGAAUGGAAGUGACAGUUUAGCAAAGGUGACGUCUGUGGGGUUUCUGGAUUAGUAUGGUAAUGCUCCCUGAAGU